rnacentral:tRNA from 10 species
AUGAGUAGCCACUGCACCUUGCCCUGCGCCAUCAAUGAGAAGAUCUGCUCUUAGUAGAGCCCUGCUUUCCCGCUGAAGGCCCUGAAAUCACCUGUGUUCCAGGCCACCCACUAAGGAUAAACAAAGCUUCCCUGAUAUGGGGAAUUAGCUCAAGUGGUAGAGCGCUUGCUUAGCAUGCAAGAGGUAGUGGGAUCAAUGCCCACAUUCUCCAAGCUUUAUUAUUUAGGUACCCAAACCCGAGUCAGUGUCUGAGAGCAAGACACUGCUCUCGGUGUCUUUGGUUCAAGACAUAGGAGCAGCAACAAUACAGGACUGGUGACAGCUUCCUGCUGGCAUUCAGUAUAGUGUAGAUCUACUGUGUAAUUAAUUUUCUGUUUCUUCGAGGAGCUGUGAAACCAAAGGACAUAUAAAACUGCUCUUUUCUCCCUGUUUCUGCCUGCAGCUUGGUCCUAAAUGUGAGACAAUUGUGAAAAGUGGAGGACAGAGCCACCUGGUUAAAUACAGCCCCAGCUUUCUGGUGAGAGGACUGAAACCAAGAUGUGUCAAGUAACUAGAAUGUGCCUGGACAGAUACUGUAGAAAGCAAAACCAUAAAGUUGUUCAUGAGCUUGUGGACGCACCUGCCAGCUGUGAAUAAGUGGCUCUAAUCCCGAACAACUUACCUAAAAAGAGCCUGAGAGCUGAACUGUGCAAUGGCCCACUUUCCAGUCCUCACUGACCACUGGGUUGCACACACUUUGGAGAUCUCUGAACAGCAGUGUCAAGGCUUUCAAAUAGAGUUAUCUUUGAAACGACAACACAUGAAAGUCUGGUUGGUACUUGGAGCUUAAAUACAAGGCAAUUGUGUGCCUGCAAAAACAAAAAUAGCAAUAUUAUCCUUAAGAAGAAAUAAUCUUGUUGGGUGUAGGAUUACAACAACUGGGAAAUUAGAAUACAGGCUAAAUGAGAUUCAAAAAUAAUACAACAAGAAUCAGGCACAAAUCCUUUACUACUACAUUCUUUUGUACAAAUCCAUUUUGCCUAGAAAAUCGUACCUUACUAUACAUCCCUAUUGUGUUUCUCCACCAUCUAUUUUACUUUUUAAACUUUAUUUCAUUUUUGUCAUCACAGAAGCUUGUUGCUACAAAAUAAAUGAGCAAAUCAGCCAAUGGCAACAAAGCUGCACUGAUCUCUCUCCUUAGACCUUCAGAACAUUUUCCUUAAAGGUGAACAAUACUCCACGUUCAAGGACUUUUUCAGCACUAUGUGCUAGAAACUAUGCUGACUGUUUAUUAAUUUUUAUGUAAGUUGGUCGAUAUAGUUUCUCAGCUUCCCCAAGUAUUAUUACCACAGUACUAUAGAUGACACUGAAGCUCAGAGCAGUUAAACCAUUUUCCUCAGAUCACAUAACUUUAAAGAGGGAAACCAGAUAUGGGAAGCAGAUUUCUUUCUAAAUGAAAAAAUCAUGAGCUCUUGCUUUCACUUAGCACAUAGUCUCAUCAUCUGUUUUCUUCACACCAGCUCACUCAUGUAACAUUCAUUCAUUUACCAAAUACAGAUAAAUGAGUGGAUUUAUUCUUGCUUUCAUCAGAUACUAAUUCAAAAUCGCUUCUGUGUCUGCUACACUGUGCUCAAGACUUGCCAGUGCCUUUGUCUCCUCUCCCUCAAAUCUCUCCACCCAAUGUCUUGACAAAUACUGUAGAUUCUUCCUGCAUAACCUCUCCAGAAUCUUUUCCUUCUGUUAUCCAUGCUACAGUGUUUAUGGAGGAUGUUUUCUUCACCUAUGAAGUGUGAUGGGGGCUGAAGCUGCAGCAAGACUCAUGCUGUUCACCUCAGGAGCUGACACAGUAAAUGUGGAUAAACCUCAAUCCUUUAAUAUCUUUAUGACUUCUUUCCCAGUUACCCCAGCGAAUUUACAGAUUGAGGUUAAAACCACAACAGGAUUAUCUUCCUGGAAAGAAUAGGCUUCCCUUUAAGGUUUCACAUAGAUACUGGGUGAGGAAGGAGCCCUAAAUUGCUUGAAAAAUUGAAUGCUCUUUGGGCAAAGCAGGAAGCCUUGCUAUGGAAGAGCAUCAUUUGAACAUAAAUCAGAGUCUCAGUACAAACAGAGUGCUCAGGACAUCAAGAUGGUUAACCAGAGAGCCUGGCCAGAAUAUCUGCGGUGGAGAGAAACGAUCUUGUUGGGAGAAGGAUGACAAUAAUUGGGGACUUAGAAUAAAGGCUAAAAAUGAUUCAAAGAGAAUGCAAAAAGAAUCAGGCACACAUCCUUUACUCUGUUGUGCAAAUCUCACCUUACUGUGUGUUUGUAUUCUAUUCCUCCACAAUCUUUAUUUUAUUUUAUUUUUAUGUUCACAGAGAUUUGUUGGUGCCAACUAAAUGAGCCCAACAGCCAGUGACAACAGAACUGCACUAAAAAAAGUCCCUCAUCAGCUCUUGAGAGCAAAAAAAAGUAUUAACCAAAACUAUUAGGGGAAAUAAAAAGCUUAAUUGGAUGAUCUCAAUAGCAGUAUGCAGAAGACUAAGGAAAAAGUCAAUGAACUUGAAAACGGAACAAGAAUACCUACAGAAUCUGACCUAUAGAAAGAAAGGAGGAUUUUAUUGUCCCUGAACAGAGGCUCAGGGACAAAUAAAAAAUAACAAAUCUAACAUUCACAUUAUUGUAAUCUGGAAACAUUCACAUUAUUGUAAGAGGACAAAGAGGUCUUUGUGGGAUAAAACUGUGAAGAAUUAAUGGCUGAAAAUGUAUCAAAUUUCUCAAAAGAUAUAAACCAGAUUUUUAAAGUUCAGUAAAUGUCAAGCAGGAUAAACCAAAAGAAACCCAUUGCAAGACAUAUCAUAAUCAAACUGCGGAAAAUUAAGAAAACACAAAACAAUUUUGAAAGCAGCCAAAGGGAAAUGAAAGAUAAAAUACCAAAUGAAUGAUUGUAGAUUUCUCAUCGGGAACCCAGGAGCCAGAAAAAAAUGUCAUAACAUUCAGUAAAUACCAAAGGAAAAAUACAUUAUCAACCCAGAAUGGUAUGUGGAGCAAAAGUAUCUUCCAGACAUAAAGGCAAAUAAAUGCAUUCUCAUUGGAAGGUAAAUAAAUACAUUCUCAGUCCUAGCAAAACUGCUGGAAAAGAAUUAGCAAAGGUUUGAGAUAAGAAAAGUGAUACCAGAAGGAAACUUAGAACAUCAUCAAUGAAGGAACAAAAGCAGAAAUAGAAAAUGUCUGGGUAGACAUAACAGACUAUUAUUCUUCUCUUGAGUUCCUUAAGGUAUGUUUGAUGGUUGAAAGCAAAAAUUGUAACUUUAUCUGAUGCAGUUGUCAUUGUAUC